ACUCAAAACUCAAAGGACUUGACGGUGUCCCAAACCAACCUAGAGGAGCCUGUCCCAUAAUCGAUAACCCACGAUACACCUCACCCCCCCUUGUAAACCAGUCUGUAUACCGCCGUCUCCCAGUUCGCCUUAUGACAGACCCAAAGCGGACACAACAGCUAACCCACUAAGACGUCAGGUCAAGGUGCAGCCAAUGGGUGGGCGGAGAUGGGCUACAUUUUCUAACACAACAGAACACCACCAGCCACCAUAUGAAACAUGGGUCACAAGGCGGAUUUAGCAGUAAGCCAAACA
rnacentral:rRNA from 1 species